CAGAUAAGGGAAUUGGAUUAGUUGUUAGCAGGUGUCAACCACAUUCUCUUUCAGGUAGUUUAGUGGUUUGGUGUUAGGAAUGCUGAGUUACUUGUUUAACUGGCCUUCUACGCUUGCCAGCUGGACAGAUUGAAUCGAUUUAACCCAUCCCUGGGUGAUGAAAUUGUCCUCAACCCUAAUAUGGAGGUGGUUUGCAAAAUGACAACUUAUCCAGAGGCGGUCAAGAAACUUUA
rnacentral:lncRNA from 1 species